rnacentral:rRNA from 1 species
GAAGGAGCUUGGGAGGGGGAACGCCGUAGGUUCCUGGGGAGGCAGGUAGGUUCCUUGGGAGGGGGAACCUCGGUCGUCCCAAGGAAGGAAGAUAGGGGAGACAAACAAGGGCACAGCUCCCCGUUGUCGUUGUUGCUCCUCCUCCAAGAAACGGAAGAGACGCGCGUCGGUCGUCAAGUUCCGGGAAUUCUAAUUCUAACCGCCAGUGAGAAGCAGCUACCGCUUGUGCCCAAAUAGUGCCGCAUUGAGAACAGGUUUCCAAGUGUCGCGUAACACGUCACUCGACUGAUACUACGAUCUAUUUUAGAGGAGAUAAGAAGGUAGUUAACUCCGUCGAGCUGGUCCUACAUCUCGUCCUUAUGUCCUUAACACGUUGAAUAUGGUAUAUCAACUCUUUCCUUCCGAGUAUUGAGUCGUGACGUAGCUUACAUCAUUUGAGAUGAACCGUUAAUGUCCACUCCGCUAAAAUAGUGCCACACUUUCCCAGUCUCUGAGUGAAUUUGCCUCAGAGAAGGACUAAGUCUUAUACCAGGGUUGUCAUAAUCGAUUAGUCUAACGACUGCAGGUGUUACUAGAAGCUCUACAUUUUAAAAGACAACUAGGUGACCUUGUUCUCCGACCGUUUAGUUAAAAUCUCUACGAAGCCGUCAGACUACGUUGACUUCUUGAAGAUGAAGUCUGUAAGUACGUCCGUCGAAGUUUCAAUUUGGACUGUAGAGGAUUUCGAUAGAAUUAACUUUCUUCUCGCUAGUUCUUUGACGAGCUAUUCUAAUGACCAUGACUAGUCUUUUUCCUCGUCCAAGAAUUCAAAGAGGAUGUAGAACAAUGUUUCAUACCUUUCUUGCAGUUUGGUCUGUGACCACUCGCCUUACUUUUAAAUGUUAGACUUUCAUUCAGAAACUCAGGUUCGAAUUCAGAACGUUCGCUACGGUCAUGAGGACUUUUCACGCUGUUCGGUUGUAUGAAGGUCCCUAUACUCAUAGUCUCAUCGUACAGACCUCUUUGGUGUGGUGGAUGUCUCAAGACAACGGGUUAUAGUUGUUUCGAUUACGUACUAGGACACUAUUAUUGUAGACCUGUCUGAAUGCUUUCUCUUAUAUAACUCUUUACCAAGUCACUCCCUAUGUUGUGAACAGGGUUCUGUGUUUUUUUCGAUCUUUUGAAACGCUACUAAGGUUUAUGAACGUACUCCCUAGAGUAAACGUUGACCACGUCUCUCGUACCAAAGUGUUAGAGUCUAAAAGAAGGUUCGUUUCUAAGGAUGUCAAUAAACGGUCUCGUUAACGUACCAGUGAGAUACAGUUCAAACGUGUUACAAAGUCAUGGAGAUUAACGACCCUUACGGUCCUUAAAACACUAACUAGUGUCGUCAAGUAGACAGCGCAAAAGACUACGGUCAAUACAGAGUCUAAGGAGGGUACACUUCCUAUACCUCCUCGGCUUCCUAUGAAAAAGAGUCAAGAGAACCUCACAUCUAAUAGUCUUCGUAGACAGUAAGGUGUUGAAGUUGGUCACGUACAAGGACUCCAAGAAGACGCUCGACAGGUUCGAGGGUAAUCUUUAUGUUCCUUCGAGGUAAUUUCUAGACUUCUUGUAAGAAGUGCUACUGCUACUACAAAGGACCCGAUACCGCAGGGUACCUAAACAUCUUCGUAAGGAGCUUAAGAACUCUUUACUAUCGUCGUCGAUGUCAUACUUUCGAGUUGUUCGACCUAAUGUAAAAAAAGAAUUAAAGGAAAGGUUGUCGUCCCGAUUCUAAGGUAGGUACCUACUUCUUCGUAAGGCAGAAUAGUGCAGGAAGGAGUCAAGCCUCGAUUUUUGACUUCGAAACAACCACGAGGUACUUGACUAAGCUGUGGACUCAGCAGUCGUUAGGACAGUCUACCGGAGACAACAGUGAGGAGGACAAAACCGUUAUAACCGUAGACUUCUAUAGCUCCCGGAACUCGAAGGGAACUUCUAAUAGACACUAGAAAGUAGGCUACGACUACACUUCAGUCUCGACUAAAGUGAACCUUAUUAGAGUUUCGACCAAGGGUAAAACCGUCUUCCUUCGAAGCAGCUCACGACAAACCUCUAAAACGCCUUGAAUACGCUGUACCUUCUUCGAUACCACGAAUAAUGGUCUUGUCUGGCUACAGAACCAAGGUAACGUCUCAUAGAUCUGUGCCCUUCGGGAUUUCUUGCUCUUGAACGUCACUAUUAGGAAGACCGUUAUACAAGGGCAUCGCACCUCCUAACGAGGGUCCACUACUUCCUCCCGCAAUAGGGGCGGGAGCACCUGGACAGCCACUUGCCCUAGCUACUUCGCUUCUCGACGAGCAAGUUCGAUGACUUAGAAGACUCCCUAUACUCCGUUUCGCUCGAGUUGUUGAGCACAAGGGUUCUUCACCGCCGGCGGCGGCUUCACUAUCUCCUAGGAGGGUGGCUCUCGGGCUAAGUGUCCGCCGGUCGUAGCUUCAGUAGACCAAAAAAGGUCUCCUUCGACUUGUAAAAGAGCUUUGGAGCCAGGGACUGCGACAAAACUCCUGGCUCAACCAUCCGGAACAUGUACAAUCAUAUGUUGUGAUUGGCAAGAAAAAAACCAAGAACCGUACCUAUCUAUCAUCGUCAACAUAACGGGUUUACUUUACGAACCACUCUACAAGAAAUAGUAGGAGCUCAGAAAGUCAUAUAUAACCAAUCGUCUAAACAGUCAGAACGACUAACAUCUACACACAUAUUCUUCAUUUCUUUCUGUCGACCAUAUCAAAGUAGGUACAGAACACACCGUUUUUCAAACGGAGAGACACACAUCACACAUGAGAUGACAAGGUGUCAUCGACCUUUCGGGGCCCCUUUAUAGACCAUG